CCUACGGGAGGCAGCAGUGAGGAAUAUUGGUCAAUGGGCGCGAGCCUGAACCAGCCAAGUAGCGUGAAGGAUGACUGCCCUACGGGUUGUAAACUUCUUUUAUAAAGGAAUAAAGUGAGGCACGUGUGCCUUUUUGUAUGUACGUUAUGAAUAAGGAGCGGCUAACUCCGUGCCAGCAGCCGCGGUAAUACGGAGGAGCCGAGCGUUAUCCGGAUUUAGUGGGUUUAAAGGGAGCGUAGAUGGGUUGUUAAGUCAGUUGUGAACGUGUGCGGCUCAACCGUAAAAUUGCAAUUGAGACUGGCAGCCUUGAGUACAGUUGAGGUAGGCGGACUUCGUGUUGUAGCGG
rnacentral:rRNA from 1 species